UUUUUUGUUUUUUUUCUCUUUUGCUCUCUAGGGCUGCGUCUGCGGCAUACGGAGGUUCCCAGGCUAGGGGUUGAAUCGGAGCUGUAGCCACCGGCCUACACCAGAGCCACAGCAACGUGGGAUCCGAGCCACAUCUGCAACCUACAGCACAGCUCACGGCAACGCCGGAUUGUUAACCCACUGAGCAAGGGCAGGGACCGAACCCGCAACCUCAUGGUUCCUAGUCGGAUUCGUUAACCACUGCGCCACGACGGGAACUCCCGGUGUGUGUUCUAAUUGGAUAUUCACGUGAGAAAUUUCUACUUGAUUUGAAAUGCAGCAACUCCACUCUGCCCCUACAUGAGGAACAACAUGCCACCCGUUUCCCAGCACACAGAAGCCUGCAUCUAAUUUUACAAGAGCUUGGAAAUAAUGCGCCCUCUAACUUGAAUUUUCUUUGCCAGUGGCCACCACAGAAACAAAUUGCUUUCAGAAGGGUGUUCUGCACUGGGUUUGUGUAUGGGGUUGUUUUUUCUGAGGGGGUGGGGAGCAAUAAGGGACACUUAUUUUUUUUUUAAAAUCAUGCUUCUAAUCCUUAAAAUGACUAAAAUAGUUUCAUCCUUUCAUAACCUGUCAUCACGCAUGUUUCUCUAAAAUUAAACACAUAUGGCUCAAGCCAGAGUUACAUUAUGCACCAUAUUAUGUAAUUAUCUUUUCAAUUUAUUACUCCUCAAAAUAGAAAAAGAUUAGCCCGUGUUUCUUAAGUCUGAGUAAACAUAUGGCCCGAAGAUUGUAAAUGACAUCCUAUCUUUAAAAGAAGUUCCAAGACUAAACAACACACAAUACUCUGUCCGCAAAGGCCAUAUGUGAUAGCAGGGUUGUAAGAUGCAGAAGAUGUGUGUGUGUGUGUGUGUGUGUGUGUGUGUGUAUACAUAUACAUACAUAUAUAUACAUUUUCUUGCUUUCUGGCCAUGUCUUUGAUGUCGUGAAAUAUUCCUGCUGGCAGAUCAUAAACAGCACAAAAAUAGAGACCAAAAACAUCUCCAUUUCAGCAUUUCCUAUUAGCUUCAGUGAACUUGGGUCCUGUCUGAUCCAUAAGGAAUAGGUAGGUCCCCUGUCACCUGGGUGUUCACACAAGAAUUACCAGUCUCUGGACAAUUCGGAAGCUUUCUGACUGCUUCCCUGGCAGCCUGUAUGCAUUCAUUCUUCAUGUUACAGGGUGAUCUAAGACCUCCUAUGCGACCCUCUGCUUGAUCACUGUCCUUUUCCUUCCUCAUCAGGAGAGAGGACUUGAGCAGGGCCCCUCACCGCUGCCAAGAGCUCCUUCCCUGUUAUUCCAGAGGCUCCCGGCAGUGUGCAGCAGAGCUAAGGGUUCUGACAACGUCCCUGUUAUCAGAACCUUUCUCCAGGGGGGCUGGCAACUUCAAGACUUUCAGUUUGCAACAGGCGGAAAUUUCCUGCACAGGGCUGCCAAGCAGAAAGGAAAUAUUUCGGGGACAAUUCAGACUCAAAUCGGUUGUAUUGUUUAUUCCGUGUGGAGGGAUAUCAGAAAUGAACCGCUCUGAGUGGGUUUCUGAUGCCUUUAUAUUCUCCUUAACUAGACGUAGUUUUAAAAUAAUAAUCUGGCAAGCUGAAAACCAGUUAAUCAGGCUUUCUCAGAAGCGUCACCACGUGCACAUUCACAAGAGCUUUAAAUAUACAUUGUGCUAUGAAUGUCCAGCAAGAAAUUGUGGAUUUCAGAUGACUUCUCCUUAAGAAAAUAUAAUUUCCAAUUGAUUGAUAUCAACAAUUGGCAAUGCUAUUGCAAAGUACAUUUUACUAAUAGGGCAUCUGCUAUCACUUUAUUGAAGGAUAUGGAAUCUUUUACAUGAGAGAUUAAAACAGUUCAAGGAUGUUUUACUCUGCCAUGAUGCAACAGUUACUCAUUUUCAAAUCACACAGUCAAUCCUUUUUAUUUGCUCUAAAUGGGUAACCAGAGACAAGGAUACCAGAGUCUCAUUCUCUUAUAACCACCGCACAGGAGAAGAACAUUUUAGAAACUUGAUUUCCAAUAUCUAGGAUAAGACUAUAGCCCACUAAAAAUAAACCACACAGUUGGCUACAAAGGGAUGUAUGUUAGAGGCAGAAUCACUGAACAGAUCUUUUGGGCUAUGUUCCAUGUUUACUGAAUCUUUGGAACCAGAAGGGCCAUGAUUAAAUUAUCUGGCACUUUCUCAUUUAAUACAGAUUGACACUGAUAUUCUCUUCAGAGAUAUGGAUGAUAAUCCAAUCAGGAAGGAAUAUGUAAGCACAGAUUCACAGGAACGAUGGGCUUAUUUUUUUUUUUUUUAAUGAAGAGGCUCUCACCACAGGGCCUUUGCACUUGCUGUUCUCUUCCUGGAAUGCUCUUCCCCCAUAUUUCCUGAUGCCCAGCUUCAGGUCAUACUGUUCUUUUCUUCUUUAAUGUAAAAAAUGCACAUCCCUCACUUACACUCACCAUUUCCUGACCCUGAUUUACUUUCUCUAUACCACUCACCACCGUUAAGACACAUUGUAUACCUAUUUGGUUUCUGACUUCUCUACUAGAAUGAAAGCCUCAUAAGACCAGGGAAUGGUUCUGUCCACUGCUAUACACCCACUGAGGGAAAUAGUACCUUGAACCUACCUGACAGUGUAAUACUUACCAAGAGAACAAAUGAACAAGUCAAUGAAUGAAUGAAUGCAUGAGUGUAUCUUUAUGUUGCCUUCAGCAGGCACUAGGACAUAAGCAUGUUAAUCUGUUUAUAGCAGAACAAUUACAUGGAGGCUCAACCAUCAUUGCAAUGAAGAGAGACCUCAAUUUGAGUUAAAAGCCCUUCAAAGGAAGGGAUCUCAAGGUAUGCUGAAAUGAUUAAUAAAAGAAAUUCAAACAAAAACCUUAAAGAAAAAGCAAUAAAACCCUGGAGUCCAGCGCUUUAAUUCUGGAAUCAGACUGGGUUCAUUCUCUAGUAAAGAGCUGUGUGGCCCCAGCAAGUAAUCUCACCUCUCUAAGCCUCAGCUCCCACAGCCAAUAACAGACCUUCACUGCUCAGAGUUGUAAGGAGGAUACAAACAGGGAUUUAAAAUAAGAAAAGUGUCAGGCACAUAAUAACGCUCACUAAUUGUACCUCUACGUGAUUUUCCAUUUCAAAAAUGCAAAUAAGGAAGUACCCGUGUGGUGCGGUGGGCUAAGGAACCAGGGUUGCUGCAGCUGUGUUGCAGGGCACAGCUGGGCCAUGGAUUCAAUCCCUGGCCCUAGAACUUCCUUCCACAUGCUGUAGGCCCCUAGCAAAAACAAAGAAACAAACUCACAUAAAUCAUGGAAGGAGAUUUGAAGAUAUUGUUUAUCUUUUGGUAAUUUUUACCUACUUAAUUUUCUAAAUUUUUUUAAUAUGAAAAAUUUGUUUGCCUAUCUGAAAUAUUUU
rnacentral:lncRNA from 1 species